UUGAAGGUUAGUGAACUUAACUAAACACGUAUAAAUUUGAACUAUAAAAAGGAAAUAACAAAUCCACCUUCAAG
rnacentral:tRNA from 1 species